CCCCGGCGAAAUGGGGUCUGGUGUACGGCCUUUGAUGUCGCUGUGUGCCGCGUAGCCAGAAAUCGGCUAUCUAAAGACCGGAUUUAGUUUCUUAAACGCUUCACUAAAGACGAGACUGGUAUGCACGCAGUGCAAUCCUAUCUCAAUUAGCUUCUCUUGUUUCGUAGAGAACAACUCGAAGACUAGAGCUAGAGUCGUUGCUGUUUGUGAAAUCUGCAUGUCUACAGCAGCGAUUAAACGCGGCCGCGGGGACGUUGACGUCGACAGGCAUCGAUUUCAUGCAGCCAUGAUCGACGUCGUACGAUCUAGCGUUGUGCGCUCUUGUCACAACGGAGACUGAAUGCAAACGUACUCGGUGCUGUUUGCUGUUUGCUGUUUCUUGACGUCUAAAGCGACCGCAUACAGUCCGGAGUGAGCGAUGUCUGGAAGGGCUUGGAGCUGCAUGACGUCAUCGAAACAAGAUGAGUUGUCUUUCUGUGUUUAGGUAAUCAUUUCAUGUGUUUUGUGCUUUGCUUUGGUGAACACAUACAGUAGCAACCAGGAAGAGACCACGUUGACAGAAAUGCUGGACGUCCCAAGCGUAACUUCCAGAGUAUGUGGAGCUCCAGGGAGACUACUUCCAUCCAACUGUUUUCUCUUGCUCAACAAAGUGAUAGCAUCUGGUUGUUUCACCAAACACAAAAGCACGUCGACAUGUCAGACAGUUAUGUUUCAUUGCAUGAUUUAUGAUCAUGCAUGCAGCGCUACAUGAUCUAGAAUUUUAGACAGUUAUUACAACAUGCAGUUAUUUAUUUCACUGGAAGGUCAAAGGUACAGCAGUUACCACAGUCACAACUAAGUGCACAAACAUCACAACAACCACAUCCUUUUCCUGCACUGUCUUCACUACCAGCAAAUAGAAAAUCAGCAAAUAAGCACUUCCUACAACAAGUUGUAAAAUUUUGUCCAUACUUUUUCAUCGAGGAUGAAACUGUCCUGUGCAGAUGUCCAUAUACAAGCAGUGCAGUUGCUGUCAAGCCAUCUCUUCCAGCUCGCCCAGUCUCUUGGACAUAAUCUUCAAUGAGUCUUGGAGGACUCCAAUGAACAAUCCACCUAAUGUUGGGAAUGUCAACACCCAUCCCAAAUGCUGUUGUGGCUAUCAGAACUCUCAAUGUGCUGUCUACUUUACUAAAUGACAUCAAAAAUUUUUCUUUCACCUCACUGUGGAGGCACUCGAAUACAUAUCAACUAGAUGAAAUUCUUGCAAAUCAAUACAAUCUGAUGGAAAUGUAUAGUGGGAUCCCAACUUUGAUCUGAGUAGAAGAUACAGUGACCAACUGUUGUCUAUUUAGUACAAAGAUUUAGUAAAAAAACUCUAGACUAGCUAUAUAUGGACUACCGUAUAUGUAUAUCUAUGAAUAAAUACAUGAUGAUCAUGCA